ensembl:lncRNA
UGGGCAUGGGCGGGCGGGCAGAACUGUCCAAGGAACAGUGGCCAGAGCACUCGCCACAGAGAAACAUCAAACCAUACCGGAAAGGAAAGCUAAACUUCAUUGAAGAUAACUGAUCCUUCUUGGUCAGUUCUGUGUGUUGUCCUGUAGGCGGCCACUGAGAUUGUGUGACGAUCAUUAUCACUUUCCUUGAAUGAAGACUCUUGUUAGGAACAAGGGAAUUGUGUUGAUCUUCAAAGGUCCAGUUAAUGUGAACAAGUUCCUUGUCAACUCCAGGGCAUUAAAGCCUCUCUUAAACCUCAGAACCUGCAACAAAGUAGUGCACUGCUCUUCCUGCCUGUUAUCAGUGUAAGGGCUGGAAGAGACCUGGGAUAUGCUGGACCAGUGUUUUCCAAAGUGUAGUCCACAGGAUGCUGCAGUGUUAGCAGGUUGCCAAACCUUCCAAGUUACCCCCAGGGUGGCACUCACGACUAACAGCUGGAGUUUGAAGGUGCUGGACUUCCACGUAUCUGGAAUAUCUAGGGAUCCUAAAUGGAGCUACAACCGUGCCGUGCUGUGUCCUGUGGUGAAGCUAGAUAUCCAAGUGUAGGGUGCCUUCUCCCAGAUGCUGUUGUGGGCAGAAGUGCGGUGUCGUGAGGAAGCCCUUACUUUACAGUUGGUCCUACCUAGUCGGGGUCAGAGAGGAAGGUGAGUUUUUCAUUUUUAACUCUGUUCUUUUCUUUCCUCUCCUCUGUGCUCAUCCACAGUAUCGUAGACACUGUGUAACUGACCUUCCUUCAGCUGAAGCCGUGUUCCCUUGUCCACAGCCCUCCCCCAAGGCUUCCUGUAACCUCAGCGUUCAUUUUUAGCAGCAUGCUCUACGCAGGAGUCACCUGGCCACUGUCCUGACUGUAGCUGCAGUAUCCCAGUAGUGUGCUCAUACCUGAACUGUCCAGUGUCUGACUGUGUCUUCAUGGGAAAGAAUGUACUGAUAUUUGUGUCUUAGGUCAUUGGAAAGUGUACUUCUUAUUUCUGUCUUUCCCGUUCCUGGCUUCCUGUCACCACCUUUUCCCCUCACCAAAAACAAAACAAAAACUGAGCCAUUAUGUAAUUUUAAAAAAUUGUAUCCCUCCCCAGGCACUUAAAUCUUAUACUGUUAUUUGUAAGUAGUACUGCUUAAUUAAAAGAAACCCUUAGGAAUUCAUUGAUUUUGUGUUUGUUUUAUUCCAUCAGCUAAUUAGAGCCCAAAUCACUAGAAAGCUGUAAAUAGUGAUAGAGGCUAUUUACAGUAUCAAUAUAUUUAGUAAACCUUUGUCUAUCAAGCCACAGCAUACUGAGUUGGUUGGUUUAUUUCAGAUAUUCCUUCCUCUGGUCUUAAAGCCCAUUUAAAACAGAAGGCAUUUUAAAGCUCAGCUUAGCUUGCAGUGGUCAGUAACAGCUUUUGCUGCUCCAAGAAUUGACUAUUUUCAUUAUAUACCAUACACAUAUAAAAAUAUAUUUCCUAGAGAUAUCCCGAGUUUCUAACGAAACUUUUUCCUUUUUUUUUUUUCUUUCGUAUUAAACAAAAACAUAGAUGCUACCAACUUUUAUCUGGUUACUUUUAAA